rnacentral:lncRNA from 1 species
UGGCUGUUUUUUUCCCUAUCCUAUUAUGGACCCGCUGAUUUUAUGAGAGCGUGUCUUAUUAGUCAAGACCUACAUCAAGACCUACACCGUUUUGUGUUUUUUUUUUUUUGCUACAUUAUAUUUGUUUUCUUAUACAUAAGUAAACCUCAAAAUCGUCAGAUUUUUCUACGUGUAUGUCAGUGUAUAUUUAUAUACUACAAUGUUUUCCUAUUUCAAUUUUGUUUUUAUUACAGUGUCAUCUUUUGUUUUACAUUGUUUACCAGUUAAAGGUCGUAUUCAUUUAAAGAUCUACUAUAUGUAUGUACUGUACAUUAGGACUUCAACGCAAAGCUAGAUGCAUGAUAAAUGUUAGUUUACGCUGUAUCUUAUUUUUCUCAAGAAACCAGUUUUUUUCAUCUUUCUUGUUAAACCAAACUUUGAGUUUUCUAUCCUGAAUGACAAAAUUUUGGAAAAGUUUGGUAAAGAAUUAAUUACAAUUUGCAUUCUAAUGCAAUAAUAAAUCAUUACGCAUUUGUUCUCGUUGUUCUCUACUGUAUUGAAGAUAAUUUCAAUAAAACGGAAACUUAAGUGAAUAUGGUCUAUAAUGAUCAAGAUAAUUGCGGUUCUUUUAUAAUAGACUAAGACGACAAAGAUAUCUUUAAAGAUUUGAGUUCUAUUUCUGUUAAUAUUCUGUAUGAGUUUUUUGCCGAUUCCCGCCGUGCCCUUUCUUUCGAUGAAAGAACCCGCCCUUUCCAGACGGCCAUAGAAAUUCCGAUGGUGAUUCCGUUAUGACGUCGUUGAAACAACGUUAAAUUACGGGAAAC